rnacentral:piRNA from 1 species
UCUAACGAUGCUUGGCUCUCUAACAAUUA